UUUAUGAAGAGUUUGAUCCUGGCUCAGGAUGAACGCUGGCGGUGUGUCUAAUACAUGCAAGUCGAGCGGCCCGCAAGGGCAGCGGCGAACGGGUGAAUAAUAUGUUGGAACCUACCCCAAAACAGGAAAUACCCUUUAGAAAUAAAGGAUAAUGUCCUAUAAUCCCGCAAGGGUAAAGUCGCAAGACGUUUUGGGAGGGGCCUGCAUCCUAUCAGCUAGUUGGUGAGGUAAUAGCUUACCAAGGCAAUGACGGGUAGCUGGUCUGAGAGGACGGUCAGCCACAAGGAGACUGAGACACGGCUCCUACUCCUACGGGAGGCAGCAGUAAGGAAUAUUUCACAAUGGGCGAAAGCCUGAUGAAGCGACACCGCGUGAACGAUGAAGUUCGUAAGGAUGUAAAGUUCUUUUUUGGGGGAAGAAUUCUGACAGUACCCCAAGAAUCAGCGACGGCUAACUACGUGCCAGCAGCCGCGGUAAUACGUAGGUCGCAAGCGUUAUCCGGAAUUAUUGGGCGUAAAGCGUACCAAGGUGGUUUAGAAAGUUGGAUGUUAAAUAUCUCGGCCCAACCGAGAAACUGUAUUCAAAACUUCUAGACUAGAGACUUACAGAGGCAAAUGGAAUUCUGUGUGUAGGGGUAAAAUCCGUUGAUACACAGAAGAACACCAAAAGCGAAAGCAGUUUGCUAGGUAAGUUCUGACACUAUCGUACGAAAGCGUGGGGAGCGAAAAGGAUUAGAUACCCUUGUAGUCCACGCCCUAAACUAUGAGUACUAGGUGUAGGCAGGUUCGACCCCUGUCUGUGCCGACGCUAACGCAUUAAGUACUCCGCCUGGGUAGUACGGUCGCAAGAUUAAAACUCAAAGGAAUAGACGGGAGUCCACACAAGCGGUGGAGCAUCUGGUUCAAUUCGAUAACAAACGAGGAACCUCACCAAGACUUGACAUCCCACGAAGACUGUCGAAAGAUGGUUGUGCCGCAAGGAGCGUGGAGACAGGUGCUGCAUGGUUGUCGUCAGCUCGUGCCUUGAGGUGUUCGGUUAAGUCCGUGAACGAGCGCAACCCUUGUCUUAUGUUGUUUUUUCAUAAGAGACUGCCUCGGCCAACGAGGAGGAAGGUAAGGAUGACGUCAAAUCAGCAUGGCCCUUAUGUCUUGGGCAACACAGGUGCUACAAUGGCCGAUAUAGCGGGAAGCAAUGCCGUAAGGCGGAGCAAAUCCUUUUAAACUCGGUCUCAGUUCGGAUUGAGGUCUGCAACUCGACCUCAUGAAGUUGGAAUCGCUAGUAACCGCGCAUCAGCUAUGGCGCGGUGAAUAUGUUCCUGGACUUUGUACUCACCGCCCGUCAAGCUAUGAAAGGUAGGGGCGCCUAAAGUCCCUGGUUUACCGGGGCCUAGGGUGACACUACUGAUUGGAGCUAAGUCGUAACAAGGUAUCCGUAGGAGAACCUGCGGAUGGAUCACCUCCUUU
rfam:Peregrinibacteria bacterium GW2011_GWF2_38_29 TS89_C0004, whole genome shotgun sequence.